rfam:Colletotrichum incanum strain MAFF 238704 contig1951, whole genome shotgun sequence.
GGCCGGGUGGCGCAAUGGCAGCGCGUCACUUUCCGGUGGUGAAGGUUCUGGGUUCGAGUCCCAGCUCGGUCG